GUCCUACCAACAGAACAAACCCCCCGGCUAAAUGGCCCCAGGGAUCCUUAAUGGAAAAAAAAAGGUACCCACCCCCCUACCUGGCCGGAAACGAAUUUCCCAGGGGCGGUGGUUUUCUUGGUUUAAAACAAAUGGAUCUUCGCCACCGAAAUCUUGGCUCCCCCCUCCAAUAAAAACCUUACCAAAUGGCAUUCCUGGUGGGGAUUUGCAAAUCCCCGGGACCCUCCAAUUUUUUAACCCCAGUUCCCCCCAAGCCCUCCGGUCCAAGGGCCCUUUUGCUGGGUGGCCAGGUACCUUUCCCUUCAACUCCCUCCGGGGGGAAAAUGGAACAAGGGCCGAAAAUUGUCCCCCCGUGGGUUCCGCUUCUCGUUGGGCCGAAAUUCAAUUCUUGGUGGUUGUGCACC
rnacentral:rRNA from 1 species